rfam:Pongo abelii chromosome 13.
GCUAGGGUGUGGUGGCCGGCACCUGUAGUCCCAGCUACUUGGGAGGCUGAGACAGGAGAAUCGCUUGAGCCCGGGAGGUCAAGGCUGCAGUGGGUGGUAAUGGUGCCACUGCACUCCAGCCUGGGUGAUAAAGUGAGACCCUGUCUCAA